CCACCCCUUCCACGGGCUUUAUGUGCUCCAUCCCAUCCUCGCUCUCAGCCUGUGUAGCUGGACAUAAUAUGUUGCAAUCCCUGAGCAUAAUAAGCAACCUUACUUUCCUAAAUCUUUUCUUAAUUCAAAACAACCUGCAUUUUCCUUUUCUAUAACCUUGGUAAGAAAAUCUGAGCUAUCCAAAUUGGCCCAGUCUGAAAUCAAUUGUUUCACAAGCAAAGAAUACUGUGGCAACAUAUUACCAAGGUAUGACUGUAUUUUAAAGAGAUCUAUAUCAUCUCCAGACAUCAAACCUGCCUCAUCCUUCCAACACUUGUAAAAUUUCUUUACAAAAAUCAUAUUACCAAUCUCUUCCUUUGCAUCCUGCUUAUAUGCCAAAGCAGUGAAUAUAGACUACCUAUUCUUCCAUAAUCCCAACAUUUCAGCUUCCACCUUGUUCCAAAUUUUAGCACAUCUUACUGAAGUACUAUGCUCAUAAUCACCAAUUCAUUUCAAACCAUAUAACUCAUACUCAGCAUCCCAUGUAAUAUUACACGUCAUCUCACAAAGCAAUAUCUUUGUAGAAACACAUAAUGGGUACCCAGCAGAUAUGCCAAUACAGAAAUCACAUUUAUGGGCACACAACUACACACUCUGUCUCCCUCCUAGGAAACACGGAUACACACAAUAUAAAAGCAAUCUUAAACUAACACCUCCAAAUCUCCAACUAUUCUUGGCCAAAACGCUAGUAUUCAACAACUAAUAAAACAGUUAUUUGCUAGGUUAUUUGGCUGUCAUUCUUAUCAGUAUCACUAGACUGUGACAAACUGAUUCACAUAUAAUUUAAAACAACACAGCAACAUAUAAAUUAAACCACUUUCAAGUUAAACUGCACACUUAUCACACAUUAUCACAAUCACCAUUUACACAGAAUAAACAGUUAACAGCUGUAUUCAGAACAUAUUAUUGGAAGGUAUACCAAUUUUAGUUUAGAUUUAUUUUAGGGAUUCUUAUGUAUACAUUUUCUUAAUUAACUUCAUUACUUUAAUCUACUAUAGUAUUGUAUUUAAAGAAAGGAUCCAUUUAUAUAGCGCGCUCAUAACUCAACUAUUUGUAUAAAACUUCCAUUAACUAAUCUGAGAUGAUGCUGCAUCAACUUAAAUCUUACAGAAAUUAUUUUGCAAACAUCUGGACCAGAUUAAACAGACAUGGUUUCACCUGAAUCUUUCAGAACUCUCAGAGACUUAAAAAAUUUAUACUAUACCAUGUUUUAAAGGCAUGGCAAACCUUUAGACCGGUCAGUCUCCAAGAGCCCUUUGUAAUACAGGUAAAAACCUUUUGUCCAUGAUGUCUGAUUCAGGCUUUAUACCACAAUUAAAAAUAACACAUAAUGUGAGACAUAGAAGACACAAGCAGUAGUUAUUACACUGGAUCAUUUAAAAGGAACCUGUUGCAAUAAAAAGGUUAGUUUACAGUGCAAAAUGAAGCAUGUGUUGGACCGCUGAAAAUGUAAAUGUUGCUCUGUUAUUUUCAAACAAAAAUUAUAUUUACAGUAUG